UGUUGUGUGAUUUUUGACAAAUAUUUUUGGAGCAGCAUGAGUUUCCUGACACUUGGGAAGCCGGUAGAAUUGAGGUUCUUCCAUAUUACUUGACAAUAAAUUCCCACUUGACUCCCCAAAUCAGCCGGUUGCAUUGUUAAUGUCAUCUUUCUGGUCACACUCUUUCAUUUCUGUGCCCAUCCCCACGAUAUCCCUCUCUUUAGUUCCCCUUCACUUGUCCAUUUCUUGAUCCUACAACUGCAUGUUGCUUCUGCUCCUGCAAUACGUGAAAUUUUAUUCGGAUGAGACAAUGGCAAGUUUAAAUCCCCAACUGAUCUGCUGGUCAAAGGUCCCUAUUUCCCCCGUCAGUUUCCCAAGUUGCAGGAAACUCGUGUUGCUCCAGAAAUAUUUGGAUUGACUGUGAGCGACAUCAAUCAGAGAGCUCGUCCAUUCUGCCUAUUGUCUCCUCUUCCUCUUCCAGAGCUGGUUCACUUUCUACAAGGACUGAAAACCAAGUGAGGAGAUGAAGGAAAAUAGAGAGAAAGCUGGGAAUAACAGACCAAUCAGCCUGAGUUGGAUCCUGACCAUCAUUUAAGAAGUAUCAACUCAACUGUGAGAACACAGGCCCUUUGCAGCAUUGCUCAAAAAAGAGAAGGUUGAGCAUUGCAACUAUCUUUUGGAAAUCAGUGAUUUAGGGAAUCUUUACACGUCAUCAGAUCUGAAAAAGGUCAGUGAUGUAGACCCUUCCAUGAGGACCAACUUUGCGGAAGGUUCGUCUUUGGGCAAUCUGACAGGAAGCUGGGAAGAAAUAGGACUCUAACUUGGAAUCCCAGCCAGUUGACUAAGCCUCUUGAGGCUUUACCUCAGAUCUGCUAGUGGGAGGCUGCUGAAGUGUGAUGUGUGUAAGAAGAGCUUCAUGGACUGGUAGGAUUUCUUAACACACGAUGUGCAUCUGUGAAAUAACUGUAACACAAAGACAGCUACGUGGAAGAGAAACCCUUCACGUGUAAGGUGUAUGAUCAAAUUUUUGUACGGUCGUCGAUGCUCGUGAAUCAUCAACACAUUCACACAGGACAGAAACCAUUCAAAUGUGAAGUAUGUAACCAGAGAUUUGCCCAGUUAUUAUGCCUCAUGAAUCACCAGCCCAUUCACUUGGGGGGAAACCAUUCAGGUGUGAUAUAUGCAGCAAGUCAUUCCCGCAGUCAUCAACACUCCGUGUGCACCAACGUGUUCACACAGGGGAGAAACCAUUCUAAUGUGAGCCAUGCAUCAAAUCAUUCUCCAAUUCAUCAAACCUCCACAGACACAAACAUAUUCACACAGGGGAGAAAUCGUUCAUGUGUGAGGUAUGCAACAAAUCAUUCACAUUGUCAUACAGGGGAGAGACCGUUUAUAUGCAAACUGUGUGAGAAAUCAUUCUCGUCAUCAUCAGCUCUCUGCAGACAUCAACACAUUCACACAGUGGAGAGACCACUCAGGUGUGAAGUGUGCAACAAAUCAUUCUUGCACUCAGCAAAUCUCCGCACACACCAAUACACCCACACAGGGGAGAAACCAUUCAAGUGUAACGUAUGUGACAGAUCAUUCUCCGACUCAACAAGGUUUCUGUUUAACCAGAAGAUCCACACAGGGGAGAAACCAUUCACUUGCGAGGUGUGUAAUAAGUCAUUCUCGGUAUCAUCAAGCCUCCGUGAACACUAUCGUAUUCACACAGGAGAGAAACCAUUCAGCUGCAAGGUAUUUGACAAAUCAUUCUCGAUGUCAUCAAGCUUCCAUGUACACUGAUGCAUUCACACAGGGGAGAAACCAUACAGAUGUCAAGUGUAUGAUAAAUCAUUCUCACAUUUAGGAAAUCUCUGCACAUGCCAACGCACCUACACAGGGGAGAAAUUGUUGAAAUGUGACAUUUGUAACAGAUCAUUCUCUGACUCAAGAAGACUUCAGCUUCACCAGAGGAUCCAUACAGGGGAGAAACCAUUCAUUUGCGAAGUGUGUAACAAAUCAUUCUCGGUGUCAUCAAGUCUCCGUGAACACCAUCGUAUUCACACAGGAGAGAAACCAUUCAGAUGCAAGGUAUGUGACAGAUCAUUUUCAAUAUUGUUAUGUUUCUGUGUACUCCAACGCAUUCAUACAGGGGAGAAACCAUUCAGAUGUGAAGUGUGCGAUAAAUCAUUCUUGCAGUUAGGAAAUCUCCGCGCACACCAACGUACCCACACAGGUGAGAAACUGUUCAAGAGUAGUUAUGUGAGAGAUCAUUCUCCAAUUCAACAAGGCUUCUGCGUCACCAGAGGAUCCACAUAGAGGAGAAACCAUUCACUUGCGAGCUGUGUAACAAAUCAUUCUUGGUGUCAUCCAGCCUCCACGAACAUUAUCAUAUUCACACAGGAGAGAAACCAUUCAGAUGCAAAGUGUGUGACAAAUCAUUCACAAUGUCAUCAAGCUUCCAUGUGCACCAACGCAUUCAUCACAGGGGAGUGACUGUUUAUGUGCAUACUGUGUGAGAAAUCAUUUUUGUCAUCGCCAGAUCUCUGCAGAUAUCAACACAUUCACAUAGGGGAGAGACUGUUCAAAUUUGAAAUGUGUGGCAAGUCAUUUUCACAAUUGGGAAGCCUCUGCACACAUCACAUUGCUUACACGGGACAAGCUGUUCAGUUGUAAGUUGUCUGACAGGUAAUUCUCCAACUGAAUGAGGUUCCUGCUUCACCAGAGGAACCAUACAGAGGAGAAACUAUACAUGUGACAUGUGAAACAAAUCCUUUUCUUUGACAUCAAGCCUCUGGGUACAUCAACACAGUCAUACAGGGGAGAAAUCAUCAAUUAUGAUGUAAUUUAUUUGACCACCUAAAUCAAGAUAGGUUCAUACAGGGAAGAAAUGUUUUAGUGCCAUGUUUGUACCAAGGUUUUCACACAGUCAGCAUAUCUGUCCUCCAUCAACACAUUCUCAAAGGAGAGAAAACCUGACAGUGAGUGUUCAGUAAUGAAGCCUUACCACAGUUCGUGGAUGCCCCAGAAACCUAGCAGCAACUACCUGACCAAAGUCUUGAACAAUUUGUAGUCAGGGUGUUUGAACCUGUAUGCCGUUCUCAUUCUGCAGGAUGUUCAGUGGGACUGGGACACAGAACAAGAAGCAGCUUUCACUCCCAUCAAACAACUAGUGAUGACAUCACCAGUGCUGAGGGAUUAUGAUGUAACAAUGGAGUCACCCUGCAGUGUGAUGUCAGUGAAACAGGACUUGGAGUAACCCCCAGGCAGUGAGAACAACCCGUUGUCAUUGUAUCCAGAGCAUUAACACAAACUGAAUAACACUUUGUAUAGAUUGAGAAGGAGGGUCUGGAUAUUGUCUUGCUUCUGAGCAUUUCAUUGUGUAUCUAUUUGGGAAGAAGGGCAUGAUAGUGAAGUCUGACUGCAGGUUGUUUCAAAGCACGUUUUUGAACCAUUUGAAUCUUAAACAUUUGUACUGGAUGUUACUUUGCUUGCAGAGAUAAUACUGAGAAGUGAAGUUGAACCAAGUGAAGCAUAUGUUCAUCUCUGGCAUCCUAUUGGGAGCUGCAGUUUCUUUGAAGGAUGCUGACAAACAGUGUGAAAUCUUUCAGAUUUGCCACAGGAAACAACAGCAUGGUGUGUUCUUGAAUGAUCAAACCUGCAGAGAAUUUGAGACGUAUUCUGAUCUCUGGAUUAUUGAGGUCCGGAGCCUUGUGGAAUUGCGCAUGCAGAAAACACUCAAUCACUUAUACAGACCUCCUGACCACACCAGUCCUGAAAUCCUCCAUUUCACUAAGACUUCACCUGAUGACGCCACCACCCAAACAGACUCAACCUGUCCAACCCUGAUCACCCAACUACCCAAAGUUAAUGUGAGAAACAGAGCUCACAAUAUAAUAAAUUUCAGUCUGAAUCAAA